AAAUAGGACUUUUUAAAGUCCACAUGAGGUUUUAUGUACAGUAUGU
rfam:Lepisosteus oculatus linkage group LG1, whole genome shotgun sequence.